rnacentral:tRNA from 2 species
GGAAACGUAUCGAAGUGGUCAUAACGGGCCUGACUCGAAAUCAGGUAGUCCCGUUCGGGGCUCGAGGGUUCGAAUCCCUCCGUUUCCG